rnacentral:lncRNA from 1 species
UGCCUAGAUCUAUGCUGGCUGAAGUUGCUGUUCUGCCCUGUUCAGCAACAUGGAUGGAAAUGAAGGCCAUUAUCCUAAGUGAAGUAACUCUGAAGUAGUCAAAUACUGCAUGUUUUCACAAUUGAGAGCUAACCAGUGGGUACACAUGGAUAUAUGGAGUGGAAAAAUAAGACACUGAAGACAAAAAAAGGGAUAAGAAAACAGAGACUGAAGACUUUAUGUAAAUUGCUCAAUACACACAGCUGGAAUGUAGAAUAACCAGGAUUCAGACUAUCUAAGAAGACCUCAUGCUCUGAAAAUCUUUAUAAAUGCUGCUUCCUCCUUGAGACAGAGUAUUAAAAGCAGUUAUUGUGUUACUAUAAC